GAGUUUGAUCCUGGCUCAGAUUGAACGCUGGCGGCAGGCCUAACACAUGCAAGUCGAGCGGUAGAGAGAAGCUUGCUUCUCUUGAGAGCGGCGGACGGGUGAGUAAUGCCUAGGAAUCUGCCUGGUAGUGGGGGAUAACGCUCGGAAACGGACGCUAAUACCGCAUACGUCCUACGGGAGAAAGCAGGGGACCUUCGGGCCUUGCGCUAUCAGAUGAGCCUAGGUCGGAUUAGCUAGUUGGUGAGGUAAUGGCUCACCAAGGCGACGAUCCGGUAACUGGUCUGAGAGGAUGAUCAGUCACACUGGAACUGAGACACGGUCCAGACUCCUACGGGAGGCAGCAGUGGGGAAUAUUGGACAAUGGGCGAAAGCCUGAUCCAGCCAUGCCGCGUGUGUGAAGAAGGUCUUCGGAUUGUAAAGCACUUUAAGUUGGGUAGGAAGGGCAGUAAAUUAAUAACUUUGCUGUUUUGACGUUACCGACAGAAUAAGCACCGGCUAACUCUGCGCCAGCCG
rnacentral:rRNA from 1 species